UUCGGAAUUUGGAAAAGUGGCGAACGGGUGAGGAACACGUAAGAAUCUGCCCCUCGGUCGGGGACAACUCUUGGAAACGAGAGCUAAUACCCGAUACGCUGUGGAGUGAAAGAAUUUCGCCGAGGGAUGAUCUUGCGUCUGAUUAGCUAGUUGGUGUGGUAAUGGCAUACCAAGGCAACGAUCAGUAGCUGGUCUGAGAGGAUGAACAGCCACAUUGGAACUGAGACACGGCCCAGACUCC
rnacentral:rRNA from 1 species